rnacentral:lncRNA from 1 species
UGGUGAGGCUCGGAAUGACCGCAAAGAAAGAGGAGGUGCACGAUGUAAGUACCCGGAGGAGAAAGAAGAGAGGAGACAAUGAAUGGAGGGGGUGGAUUUGGUGCAAUUUAUGAUGUGGUAGGCCUACUGGGUUUGACGUGCAGGCAUCCCCAUAUCCCCCAUAUUUGAUCCGCAUAUGAGGGGUGCCGGUCAACCUAGGCUUUUGAGGCACCCGUCUAGAUCUUCUUUUUUUAACGGCCGUUUGUUCGGGUGUUUGGGGCACCUGGUUUGACAUUCUUCUAUAUGAAAGGGAACAAUGUAUGACGACGAAAAAACAAGAUAAAAGAAAAAAAGACUGACAUCGAUCCGCACUUCUAGCCCCCCAACAUGCACGAGUUAGCUAGCGCUAGCCUUGCGUGGUCGGCGAUACAGCCUUCGUCGUCUUCUUAUUUAAGCCGCCAAGUGUCAACCGAAACCAUCGAGGUGGUACUAAAUAAAG